rnacentral:rRNA from 1 species
CCUACGGGUUGCAGCAGUGGGGAAUAUUGCACAAUGGGCGCAAGCCUGAUGCAGCCAUGCCGCGUGUAUGAAGAAGGCCUUCGGGUUGUAAAGUACUUUCAGCGAGGCGGAAGGCAUUAAGGUUAAUAACCUUGGUGAUUGACGUUACUCGCAGAAGAAGCACCGGCUAACUCCGUGCCAGCAGCCGCGGUAAUACGGAGGGUGCAAGCGUUAAUCGGAAUUACUGGGCGUAAAGCGCACGCAGGCGGUUUGUUAAGUCGGAUGUGAAAUCCCCGGGCUCAACCUGGGAACUGCAUUCGAAACUGGCAAGCUUGAGUCUUGUAGAGGGGGGUAGAAUUCCAUGUGUAGCGGUGAAAUGCAUAGAGAUGUGGAGGAAUACCGGUGGCGAAGGCGGCCCCCUGGACAAAGACUGACGCUCAGGUGCGAAAGCGUGGGGAGCAAACAGGAUUAGAUACCCCCGUAGUC